GUAGGGAAUAUUGGGCAAUGGAGGCAACUCUGACCCAGCCAUGCCGCGUGCAGGAAGACGGUCCUCUGGAUUGUAAACUGCUUUUGAAUGGGAAGAAACGCACUUUUGCGAAAGUGUUUGACGGUACUAUUAGAAUAAGCACCGGCUAACUCCGUGCCAGCAGCCGCGGUAAUACGGAGGGUGCAAGCGUUAUCCGGAUUUAUUGGGUUUAAAGGGUGCGUAGGCGGCUUAAUAAGUCUGGGGUUAAAGGCGGCAGCUUAACUGUACGCAUGCCCUGGAAACUGUUGAGCUUGAGUGACCUGGAGGUAGCUGGAAUUCCCUGUGUAGCGGUGAAAUGCAUAGAUACGGGGAGGAAUACCGAUUGCGAAGGCAUGUUACUACGGGCAAACUGACGCUGAUGCACGAAAGCGUGGGGAUCAAACAGGAUUAGAAACCCCGGUAGUCC
rnacentral:rRNA from 1 species